rnacentral:rRNA from 1 species
AUUGAACGCUGGCGGCAGGCCUAACACAUGCAAGUCGAACGAGUGGCGGACGUGUGAGUAAUGUCUGGGAAACUGACUGAUGGAGGGGGAUAACUACUGGAAACGGUAGCUAAUAACGCAUACCAUCGGAUGUGCCGAGAUGGGAUUAGCGAGUAGGGGGGGUAAAGGCUCACCAAGGCGACGAUCACUAGCUGGUCUGAGAGGAUGACCAGCCACACUGGAACUGAGACACGGUCCAGACUCAUACGGGAGGCAGCAGUGGGGAAUAUUGGACAAUGGGCGAAAGCCUGAUGCAGCCAUGCCGCGUGUAUGAAGAAGGCCUUCGGGUUGUAAAGUACUUUAAGCGGGGAGGCGUUACCCGCAGAAGAAGCACCGGCUAACUCCGUGCCAGCAGCCGCGGUAAUAC